rnacentral:lncRNA from 1 species
CAAAGCGCCACCAGGAAGGAAAACCAUGUGACAACAGGGCCAUCACCACGCACAGUGGGGAACAUCUGUCUGCCUGGAGUGAGAAGCUGAAGAGUUCAGUUCUUGCCUGAUGCCUUACAGUUUUGGAGAAUGUUGAAAUGCCUGCUGGUUAUUAUUCCAAACACAUUUUGCUAAUAUGCAAUCGCAUAUUCUAAUGAGAAUAGCUGAUGACAGCUAAUUUUCACUGCUGUACCCCUCUGUGACCCUCUCCAAUGCUCUGAUUACACAGCAAGGCUGUAGUUUGGAAACUUCUGCGGCUCCAAGGAAGGCUUCUC